rnacentral:miRNA from 1 species
CUGAGCCAUUUCUCCAGCCCUCCAUUCUAAAUUUAAGGGCUGGAGAGAUGGCUUAG